GCGCCGGGCUUGAGCGGGCCCGGCUUGGAACGGGAGCCGACGGGCGCCGGGGAAGCCGCGUCGCCGGGCUCGGCUGGGGGUGCGCAGCGCAGCGGCGGGACCCUCUCUACCGCCGUCGGGAGCGGGGGGCGGAGAGCGGGGCUUCGCCGCGGAGACCGUGCGUUGGCUCCACCGCCGCGGCCUUUCCUUCCUCCCGUCCCUCCGCCGCCUCCCGCUCGGGCCUGAGCGCGGGUCCGCGGCCGGCAGGGGGCGCUGCCGCGCCUGCGGGCCUGGUUCCCGGCGGCCGCGGCCUCUGGUCCCCGCUAGGUCCCCGGAGGCCCCCACCCGGUCCACAAGCCACCCCUGAGCCUCACGCCACCGGGGGACGGAAGAGAGUCCCGGGGCCACCGGAGGGGCUGUCUUUUUACGGGCUGGGCUCGAUGCAGGAGCAGCGAGGCCUACAGGGAAGCCACAUCUGACUCGACUCCGGGGGAUUUAUGGUAAUAGGAAAAGGAUGGAAAAUCAGUGCGUGGACAGUGAAAGGGAAGUCCAGCCUCACGGAGGGGCUUUUCCUGUGGGUCUCCAGAACAUUCCUCCCACCCCACCCACCUCAUGACAAACUGAGGCAAUGUCCUAAUGCUUCCGGAUAACAAAGCGUCUGAGGCUCUGAAGUUCAGUGUGAAAAUACGCACGUGUUCGGCUGUAUUGGAAAGCACGGCAAAGAGAAAAGACACGUGGAGUAAGGAUAAGUGAGCCAGUUUUUAAGCUGAGGCUUCCUGUAGGAGUUGCAGCAGCCGUGUGACUUUGGACAAAUAUUCUCCAAAUUAACAACCACCUCCAACUGGAAAUCACACUUCCGCGUGGGAGCAGAAAAGGCAGCUGUGCAGACGGACCAGGGCUUGGAAAAUGAACCACAUUUUCCAAGAUCCGUUAUUAUAUCAUCUGUCUUCUUCCCUCCGAUCUGUGAUGGAAGCCCUGUCAUACACUGAUUCCCCACAUAUAUGUAGUUCUGUCCCCAAACUUCCUGUUCUAUUUGCCUUUCCUAU